rnacentral:lncRNA from 10 species
AUUGAGCAGGAGACAAGGUCAGGGUAAUAGCCCCAGCACCUGGACUCAUUUAGAUUUAAGUAAAUGUACUGAGGCUCCAGAGAAAGGUCUCCAAGACUUAGACUAGAGUUACAGAUUAAAAGAAGUUAAUCACUUAUAUCUUUAGAUAAAUGCACACUGACACGUAGACAUACAUCUUAGAAAAUAUAUAAGCUCUGGAAAACCUUGUAAUUUACAGUUGGUCUGGAGAUAUUUUCUGGGCCUUCUCUCUGUAACCGGUUCCAGAAAUAAAAAACUCUCUUCCUCCCCAGUUUAUCUGCAUCUCGUUAUUGGGCCGUGAGAAAUAGCAGCCAGACCCUGAGUUUGGUCUGGGAACACACUGGCUGGGCUUCCUGCCUGGCGGUAGAGCUUCACUGUCCUCCUUCCCAGCCAAAAUGUGGCCCUUGAAGGCUUCCUCCCCAACUGACCGGUUUUGGGUUCUAGGUACUCAGGGAACACCGUCUUCAAGGAGGCCAUUUUCAUACUGUUCCUGGUUUGAUUUUUCUGAAAUUAGGAAAUGCCCCUUGAGGCAUCCAGGAUUGUCUUUAUUUCCCCUGAAGCUUCCCCUCCUGAAGAAAAAAGUUCUCAAACACCCUCAGGACUCAAACCCCAAGUUCACCCUGUGAAACAUUCCCAUUUCCUAAACCCAGGCAGGCUCAUGGCCCUCAGCCUCUCAGACCCCAUGGAAA